GUCCAUUUGUGGGCUGCCCCACACUUGUGGGGCUGGAGGGGGUCGGUCCUGCCGUGGGUCACACCGUGGUCCCGCUGUGGGUCGCUCCGUGGGGCUCCUGUGGGUCCCGCCGUGGGUCUGACCCACAUCUUCCUGUGGCUGCCGCUGUGGGUCAGUCCGUGUCCUACUUGUGGGUCAGACCCCCCACUUAUGGGUCAGUCCGUGUCCUACUUGUGGGUCAGUCCGUGUCCUACUUGUGGGUCAGACCCCCCACUUGUGGGUCAGUCCGGGUCCUACUUGUGGGUCAGACCCCCCACUUAUGGGUCAGUCCGUGUCCUACUUGUGGGUCAGACCCCCCACUUGUGGGUCACCCCCUGCCCCACUGCCAGCUCAGUCCGUUCUCCGCCCCGUCCCUCGCCGUCCCUCCGUGGGUCCGGGCCUCCGUGGGGCGGCGGCGCCGUGGGGCAGCGGUGGGGGGGUCACUGUGGGGCGCCGUGGGGCGGCGCCGUGGGGCAGAGCUCGAGGGAAAGGGCCUCGAAAGCCUCCAACAUGGCGGCGCGGACCCGCUCCGUCAGCGCCGGGACGUCCGUGGGGCCCAGCCCCCGCGUGGGGAGGGGGGGCAGCACCUGGAUGACGCACUCACCUGGGGGGCAGGAUGUGGGGCUGACCCAUAGCGACCCAUAGAUCCGCCCCAUAGCGACCCAUAGCUGCCCCAUAGCGACCCAUAGCGACCCAUAGAUCCAGCCCCUAAGGCUGCCCCAUAGCGCCCCUGCCCCCCAACCUCGUCGUCAGCAACAACCAGAGGUCCCCUGAACUCCUGGGUAGGGCUGCCCCAUAGAUCCGCCCCAUAGCGACCCA
rnacentral:lncRNA from 1 species